UGCUACUUGAGAUAAUAGGGAGCAUGUUC
rnacentral:piRNA from 1 species